AUACUAUUCUUCUUUUUUUCAUUUUUGUAUUUUCACUAGGGAAGUGAUACAAUUUUCAUAUUAAUGGUGAUUAGGAAUCAGAGGCUGAUCGCCACAUUCCCCCCUUUCUGCCCUAAAUCCUGUCAUUCCUGUCUCUUUUUUUAAUAGAUAUUUUGGUUUGUCUUCCUUUAUUUUGUUUAUCACAUAAUGAAUUUUAUUCAAUGGUGUUGAGUUCAUCUAUGUGAAAGAAUUAGAAUUUUCAAUUGAUAUUUGAUGUUAAUAUUUGUUUGGUUCAAUUUUGACAGUCGUGACAGGUUGCAUUUUGAUUAUUGAAGUUUCUCCCAGCCUCCCCUCCCCCAUUGAAAUGAUACUCCCAAUAACUAUGUAAUCACAGUUAUCUUUCAUUGCUUUACUGUGGUUUAUGAUUUAAUGAAUUUUUCCAAUUCAAGCAGCUUCUGAAAAUCCUUUCAAGGGAAUUUUUACUGCUCUUCCCAAGCCCGGAGGAAGCGAGUUUGGCUCCUAAGGUUGAUGAGUUGAAGUUUCUUGCAUCCCAACUUUACUAUAGCAAUUCCGAAGGUUUGGUUUCAACUGGAAAAUUGAUCGAGUGAUGGACUUGUCGGAAGCAAUUGGAGAGAAAAGGACGAUUAUUGGAUAAAAAUGCAAUUUUGGGAUCAAACUCUACGUGCUAGAAAUUAAAAGACUUAAGUGCAUUAAUUAUAAGGAAGUAAGGCCUUGAAAGAUAAAUUGUAACUAAUUGGGCAUCAAAUAAAUGGAAAGUGAAAAAGAAUAUUUGGGCCUCAAUAAUUGUAGAAAAUGGGCUGCCUUGGGAUUUAUAAAAGAUAGAUAGAAAACGGCAGCCAGGAGAAGAAGGAAAACGGGAGAAAAACCUAAAAGAGAAUUUAGUCUUCUUUGGGGAGUCAACAAAAACGGCUGCGAGAAUUUGGACGGCUGCUGGUAGAAAGAAAUUGAGUAACAGUAGGGCUGCCAAACUAUAUUAUAUAUAUACACAUAGGGAGGCCGCUAACGGAGUUGCUGGGGAAUUAAAAAGGCAGCUGCUUGGAGGAAAAUAAAAGUUGGCGUUGAAAGUCAGGCAUUGCAGGCUGUGGGAAGAAAGGAAGGGAAGAAUUCUUGGGGCUUUGCUUUGGAAUUCAAUCACAGUGGCCAGCCAAAUUAAAGGAAGCAAAACGGGAGAAUAAUCUAGAGAAAACUGGUCCCUUUUUGGAGUUAAAAAAAAAAAAAAAAAGGCCUCAACUGGGGAAAUUAAUUAGAGAUAAAUACAUACAAGAAGAGGCGCUUGGGGGGUCAACAUAUAUAAAUACAAGCUGCUGUAAUUGGGCAGUAAAAAAGGGCAGAGCUGCUGGGACAGAAGGCAAAGAAAAAGGCUGAUUUGGCUGAUUUAUAUAUAUAUACAACAACUGCGGCAGAAAAUUUAAAGGAAUUGGAGACUAAUCUAUAGACAAAAAGGCAGCCAAUUGGGGGAUUAAUACACAUUGAUACACACGGAACUGAGAGGAAGAAAAACCAUAGAAAAGCUGGUUGGAAAUAAGAGAUUUCACAUUGGAUUCGAAGAAAGGCUGCCGGCUGAGUUUUUUGUGCAACUUUCUUCAAUAAUUGUGCAAGGAGCUUGAAAAUUGAAUCACUUCCCGUCGAUUUUCGACUGGAAUGGUAUACGCAAUGAAAUUUUCUCACAUAAGCAAUAGGGACUUGGUCAACAUGGCGAAUAAGAAGGUGAAUGUUAUUCCUUUUUUUAAAUCAUUUUUGCAAACCAUGUUGAGAA